UACGUAGGGUGCAAGCGUUGUCCGGAAUUAUUGGGCGUAAAGAGCUCGUAGGCGGUUUGUCGCGUCUGCUGUGAAAACUCGGGGCUUAACCCCGGGCCUGCAGUGGGUACGGGCAGACUAGAGUGCGGUAGGGGAGACUGGAAUUCCUGGUGUAGCGGUGAAAUGCGCAGAUAUCAGGAGGAACACCGGUGGCGAAGGCGGGUCUCUGGGCAUUUCCUGACGCUGAGGCGCGAAAGCGUGGGGAGCAAACGGG
rnacentral:rRNA from 1 species